GACGUAGGGGGCGAGCGUUGUCCGGAUUUAUUGGGCGUAAAGCGCGCGCAGGCGGUUCGGACAGUCGGAUGUGAAAAUCCGGGGCUCAACCCCGGACCUGCAUCCGAUACUCCCGGACUGGAGGCAGGUAGGGGAGAGCGGAAUUCCCGGUGUAGCGGUGAAAUGCGCAGAUAUCGGGAAGAACACCGGUGGCGAAGGCGGCUCUCUGGACCUGUCCGUGACGCUCAGGCGCGAAAGCUAGGGGAGCGAA
rnacentral:rRNA from 1 species